rnacentral:rRNA from 1 species
GACUUGACAUCUCGAGAAUCCGACUUAAUAGUCGGAGUGCUUUCGGGAACUCGAAGACAGGUGGUGCAUGGCUGUCGUCAGCUCGUGUCGUGAGAUGUUGGGUUAAGUCCCGCAACGAGCGCAACCCUCGUUCUUAGUUGCCAUCAUUAAGUUGGGCACUUUAGGAAGACUGCCGGUGACAAACCGGAGGAAGGUGGGGAUGACGUCAAGUCAGCAUGCCCCUUACGUUCUGGGCUACACACGUACUACAAUGGUUGGGACAAAGGGCAGCAAGCUCGCAAGAGUUAGCGAAUCUCAUCAAACCCAGCCUCAGUUCAGAUUGCAGGCUGCAACUCGCCUGCAUGAAGGAGGAAUCGCUAGUAAUCGCAGGUCAGCAUACUGCGGUGAAUUCGUUCCCGG